AUUGAACGCUGGCGGCAGGCCUAACACAUGCAAGUCGAGCGGAUGAAGGGAGCUUGCUCUCUGAUUCAGCGGCGGACGGGUGAGUAAUGCCUAGGAAUCUGCCUGGUAGUGGGGGACAACGUUUCGAAAGGAACGCUAAUACCGCAUACGUCCUACGGGAGAAAGCAGGGGACCUUCGGGCCUUGCGCUAUCAGAUGAGCCUAGGUCGGAUUAGCUAGUUGGUGGGGUAAAGGCUCACCAAGGCGACGAUCCGUAACUGGUCUGAGAGGAUGAUCAGUCACACUGGAACUGAGACACGGUCCAGACUCCUACGGGAGGCAGCAGUGGGGAAUAUUGGACAAUGGGCGAAAGCCUGAUCCAGCCAUGCCGCGUGUGUGAAGAAGGUCUUCGGAUUGUAAAGCACUUUAAGUUGGGAGGAAAGGCAGUAAGUUAAUACCUUGCUGUUUUGACGUUACCAACAGAAUAAGCACCGGCUAACUUCGUGCCAGCAGCCGCCGCCGUAA
rnacentral:rRNA from 1 species